rnacentral:rRNA from 1 species
GAGAAGGGCGUUUGGCGAAUGCCUUGGCAGUAAGAGGCGAUGAAAGACGUGAUACUCUGCGAUAAGCCAUGGGGAGCUGAGAAUAAGCUUUGAUCCAUGGAUUUCUGAAUGGGGGAACCCACCUGACAGUUUUCUAUAAUUGCUUCGGCAAUUUAUAGGCGGCUGAACCAGGUAUUUAUAGACUGAAUACAUAGGUUUAUAAAAGCAAACCCGGGGAACUGAAACAUCUAAGUACCCGGAGGAAAGGAAAUCAAUUGAUACUCCCCUAGUAGCGGCGAGCGAACGGGGACCAGCCGAGCCUUGAGAGUGAAUUGAAUGGUCUGGAAAGGCCAACCAUAGUGGGUGACAGUCCCGUAAAUGAAGCUCAAUAGGACGUAUUAAGUAGGGCGGAACACGUGAAAUUCUGUCUGAAGAUCGGAGGACCACCUUCGAAGGCUAAGUACUCCUUACUGACCGAUAGUGAACCAGUACC